rnacentral:snoRNA from 1 species
ACUGCAUAUUUGCUCCAUGUUUUUUAUAACACAAAGAACAUGGGAUAACUAGAUGCACAAAAUAUGGCCAANAGCGUCGCUCCUUGCAUUUUCUCAAUGUUGGGAUGUACCGCCANGGAACAACACUU